GACGAACGCUGGCGGCGUGCCUAAUCCAUGCAAGUCGAACGAACCGCGACUAGGUGCUUGCACUUGGUCAAGGUGAGUGGCGAACGGGUGAGUAACACGUGGGUAACCUACCUCAUAGUGGGGGAUAACAGUCGGAAACGACUGCUAAUACCGCAUAGGACAUAGGAUCACAUGAUCCAGUGAGGAAAGGUGGCGCAAGCUAUCGCUAAGAGAUGGACCCGCGGUGCAUUAGCUAGUUGGUAGGGUAAAGGCCUACCAAGGCGAUGAUGCAUAGCCGACCUGAGAGGGUGAUCGGCCACAUUGGGACUGAGACACGGCCCAAACUCCUACGGGAGGCAGCAGUAGGGAAUCUUCCGCAAUGGACGCAAGUCUGACGGAGCAACGCCGCGUGAGUGAAGAAGGUCUUCGGAUCGUAAAGCUCUGUUGUUAGAGAAGAACAGCGCAUAGAGUAACUGUUAUGCGUGUGACGGUAGCUAACCAGAAAGCCACGGCUAACUACGUG
rnacentral:rRNA from 1 species